rnacentral:lncRNA from 1 species
AUUAUUACAAAACUUUUAAAAUAUAACUGAACUAGUCCACCCAUACACACUAAAAAACUAUGACACUAUUUUGCUAACUUGGCUAACUUGGCUUCAUGUUUCAUCUUGAGCCAUGCUAAUCUUUCUUCUACAUUAUCUAAGGUCAUGAACAUCUCUCUCCAAUUUCUUUGUGAAAAUCUCAGUAGCAAUGAAAUGCUCAUUGGUACCAAAAA